UAAGUAGGUAGUGAAAUCGUGUGGCUCAACCAUACUCACAUUAUCUAAACUGCUAAGCUAGAGUAUAUGAGAGGUAGUUGGAAUUCCUUGUGUAGGAGUGGAAUCCGUAGAUAUAAGGAGGAACACCGAUGGCGUAGGCAGACUACUGGCAUAUUACUGACACUAAGGCACGAAAGCGUGGGGAGCGAACAGGAUUAGAUACCCUGGUAGUCCACGCCGUAAACUAUGGAUGCUA
rnacentral:rRNA from 1 species